rnacentral:rRNA from 1 species
UACAGAGGGUGCAAGCGUUGUUCGGAAUUAUUGGGCGUAAAGGGCGCGUAGGCGGUGCGGUAAGUCUGUAGUGAAAUCUCUGGGCUCAACUCAGAGUCUGCUGCAGAAACUGCCGUGCUUGAGUGUGGGAGAGGUGAGUGGAAUUCCCGGUGUAGCGGUGAAAUGCGUAGAUAUCAGGAGGAACACCGGUGGCGAAGGCGGGUCUCUGGCCCGGUACUGACGCUGAGGUGCGAAAGCCGUGGGGAGCAAACAGG